AGAAAGUUUUGAUUGUUUGGACUUGUAGAAAGCGUGUUGAAAUUUGAAAAAUCCAGUAAUUUUUAUAGUUUGUGCAUUGAAGAUUUGCACUAAGUAUAAGUGACUUGCAGUUUUGUUUUGUUAACUAGUACAUGUUAACAUCCUCGUGGGUUGAAUCAUUGGUACAGUAACUUUGUGCACUCGUUCAGCAGACGCGUCGCGUCAAUGACGAUGGCGGAUUAAACGUGCAAGGCGAUAGUGAUAGGACAUUCAUAUGUGCGCCGUUUGGAUGUUUAUUUGCAACGUCACAACAUAAUGAACUUACGUUUGGACAACGACAAAUUCCAAGUUUCAUUACGGGGAAAGGGAGGUUUAUGUCUUAGACAUAUUCGUUUCAAUGCAAAAAUUCUGCACUUUGACACAACCCCCGAUAUAUGUUUCAUGCAGAUCGGUGAAAAUGACAUAUCGCCCCGUAGCGAACCAGGGAAAAUCUCACAGGACAUUUUUUCGGAGACUUGUUAUCUGCGCGACGGAGUUGGCGUAAAAAAAGUUAUCGUUUGCCAGUUGUUGCGUCGGCUGCCAUAUGCGUCCUGUCCACGGUUUAACGAGAUGGUACAGUCAGUGAACCACUUGCUGAAAGAAAAGUUAUCGGACGUACAAGGGAUUGUGUUUUGGCCACACCGUGGAUUCUGGGAGUCACUGUCAUACAUCUGCCCAGAUGGAGUACACCUGCUAUGUACUCAAGCCAAUGAUCAGCCCAUGAGGAAGUUUCUGUGGAGUAUAAGCAACGUUAUAAUUAUUAACGCCAAAGAUCUCAGCAAACAUGCCAAAGGGCAAAGCCACUUCAAGGAAGCGACCAGCUUCACCCCGGCCCGCUCCAAAGAAGUCCAGUCGUCACAGUGUAGCACCACACAACCCGUCUGUGGAACAAGAGCCUGCAGAGUUGACACCCACCAUAGACUAUGAAAAACUGGCGAGACACAUCGUCCAGGAGCAAGCACGGGCCCAAAAUGCAAACGUUCCCCCAGAACAGACGUCUCCCAAUUCACGGCACCAAAUGGAUGGGACUUGCUAGGACAUACCCACCACUUCCAACCAAGCCAUUUCGAGUGACAAUGUCACCACCAUCCUUGACGCAGUAUUUCAGGGCAGCUCGGCAGCUAGCACCGGAUCUGGAGGAAUGUCAGAUACUCAUCCCACACUCUCUUCUACACAUUUAGCACAUGGGGCACGGACACUUUUAUCAGCAUCCUUGGCAUUAUCAACUCAAUUAGCGUACCGGCGAUCAUGGCAACUCUUGCAAACAUUUCAAGGUCAGAGAGCUUUACCCUUGCGUGUGGUUGACAUAUCCAACUUUAUACUCCACUUGCAUGCAUCCCAUUUUAGUGCAAGUACAGUUUAUUCCCAUUUUUCUGCCAUAGGCUAUGUACACAAGAUACUUGCAUUACCGGACCCUACACAGCUGUUUAUUGUGAAAAAUAUACUAAGGGGUUAUCACAGGUUGUCUCCCACAGUGGAUUCACGUCUGCCAAUUGCCAGAGAUAUCUUGCUUCAGAUUAUCAAGGCUAUACCCCACACCAUUUCUGUUUUGGAUUAUCGUAUCAUGUUAGAAGCCCUUUUCUCUAUUUGUUUUCAUGCUUUCCUUAGAUUGGUGAGGUCACAGUAAAACAAGGCAUUACAUCAGAUAAAGUCAUUCACCUUCAAGAUGUAGAGUUUCAAUACAAUGGCUCCAUUCCCUCCAGAGUGCAAUUAGUAUUGCGCUAUUUCAAAACCCCAAAAAUGAAUAAGCCUGUCACAAUUUGUGUAGAGGGCUCCCCCACACUGGACCAUUGCCCCGUCAAAUCAUUACACCGUUAUCUGUCGCAUUCAGGUCAUACAUCUGGUCCACUUUUUCAAUAUAGAGAUGAUUCUCCGAUUACGUACAAUUAUGUUUCCAAAGAACUUUCAAACAUCAUUAAGUAUGUGAGUCUCAAUCCUGCACUAUACAAAGGUCACAGUUUUCGCAUUGGGGCAGCAACAUAUGCAACACAAAAAGGGUACUCGGAGAAUUAUAUCCAACAAUUAGGUCGCUGGAACUCUAAUGCCUUGAAACGCUAUAUUAGCAUACCUACACUUUCUCUUUGAUCACUUCACCUCUCCUGAAUCAGCCCAUUCGUUGGUGAAGUUCAAAUAUUUUAUGCAGGUCCGUGUUUAACUGCUGCAUCAAGUUGUUGGCUCAUUUCACUCAUUGGCUGUACCCGGUUUCUUUCUAUACAGGCCCAUUUUUCACCAUAUAUAACUUUUACCAAAAAUGCCAGUGUCCUACUACCCAAAAAAUGGGGUUUACCAUGCACGUCAGUGUUUAAGUGUCGCAAUUAUGAGGUCAUUAUGCACGUCAGUGUUUAACCGCUGCAACAACGAGGGUUACCAUGCAGGUCAGUGUUUAACUGCUGCAACAAUGGGGUCACCAUGCAGGUCAAUGUUUAACUGCUGUAACAACGGGGGCUACCAUGCAGGUCAGUUUUUAACUGCUGUGGAAAAACCCAAUCCAUUUCCCUUCCCACUUUAAAGUACCUGUUUUAGGCAUAUUUGCGUGCUGACUCACCAACAUGGUCCAACCGAAAUAUCCAUUAAUUACCUCCGUUAUGGUUGAAUUGUAGUUAAGUUUUUCACAACUUAUGUAUAUAAAUGUUUGAAUUUGUUACACAAUUUACAAGACAGCUCACCUUGGAUGGCUCUGAAUAUGAUUUGUUAAUCAUAUCUUUGGCCCUUUUUGUUCGCCAUCUGUUUGCUUGUUGUACACUUUGGAACAAGUUUCCAAGGUCUGUAUUUUAACUAGUCAUUGUUUGUUAUUUGUGAUAAUCAUGUAUGGGGAAAAUCAGGACAGAUGUGUUGAAAUCCUAUGUAAUUACAUUGUAUGUAUCUACUGAUUUUCCCCUGGUUGAACUGGUCAGUACCAUAUUUAUCUGUGAAAUUAUCUAUAUGGAGGAAAUCAGAAAUGAUGGGUUUAUAUAUUGUGCAAGAUUAUGACAGUGUUUGUGGAUCGCUGAUGUCCCCCCUUCUUUGUAUUAACCUUUAUCUUCGUCAUUUGUUGUCUAAAAUAAAUGACAUAUUUCAUUCUCAUACAGUUUUACAGUGUUGAUUUUUAAAGCAAAAACAAGCUUCGGUGAGCUGUCCUCUUGAAAAGGAAAUAGUAUGAGACAUAAAAUAUAUAGUAUGUAUAUAAUAACAUUUAUGGCGAAACUUUUUCCUUAUAUUAUUUAUAUUAGUUAGUACCGGGUAACCCGUAUUGUACCUCUGAACAUUAAACCCCGUCGGGAACCCCUAUUCAACAUUAGCACAGUUUGUAUCUGAACCAAUGAAAACUUGUGUAUAGAUCACGUGUCUACUUCUGUUAGAAAGUUUUGAUUGUUUGGACUUGUAGAAAGCGUGUUGAAAUUUGAGAAAUCCAGUAACCCACCACCUCCCCAUCUUAAAUCCCACCUAUAUAUAUAAAAAUGUAGCUUAAUUAUUCGUCAUCUUAUUGUAGCCCUUUUUGUUCGCCAUCUUUUUGCUUGUUGUACACUUUGGAACAAGUUUCCAAGGUCUGUAUUUUAACUAGUCAUUGUUUGUUAUUUGUGAUAAUCAUGUAUGGGGAAAAUCAGUAGAUACAUACAAUGUAAUUACAUAGGAUUUCAACACAUCUGUCCUGAUUUUCCCCUGGUUGAACUGGUCAGUACCAUAUUUAUUUGUGAAAUUAUCUAUAUGGAGGAAAUCAGAAAUGAUGGGUUGAUAUAUUGUGCAAGAUUAUGACUGUUCGUGGAUCGCUGAUUUCCCCCCUUCUUUGUAUAAACCUUUAUCUUCGUCAUUUGUUGUCUAAAAUAAAUGACAUAUUUCAUUCUCAUACACUUUUACAGUGUUGAUUUUUAAAGCAAAAACAAGCUUAGGUGAGCUAUCCUCUUGAAAAGGAACUAGUAUGAGACAUAAAUAGAUAUCAUGAUAUAUUGGGUUUUAACGUUUGUUGGUUUCUUUAUAAUUUAUUUUGUUUUAUUUUGAGGAAAAAAAAUGUAGAUUUCAUUUUUUUUAAACGUAAGAUUAAAGCAAAAUUAAAGAUUUUGACUUUUUUCUUUAUAAUUGCUAGAAAAAGAAAAUUGACUUUUCUUUUGAAUGUUUGAUGAAUCCUGUCAUAUACUUUUUUUGCAAAUACUUUAAUUUCUGAACAUUAUAUGCUUCCAGAAAGUAUUAAAAAAAUCGAUACUUUAGUAAAUGUACAUGUGCAUUGAUGUAUCAAAUUGAACCCCUCUGCAUCACAAAAUAUCAACGUAUUGUUACACCCUCAUUGAGAACCACUGAGCCAAUUUCAAUCAAACUUGGAACAGUAAAGGUGGUCCUAUGAAAGAGACUUUUUAACAGGAUGGGUGUCCUACAAAAUGUAUCAGAACUACAAUUUGUGAUAUUACUAUACAAGCAUCCUGAAAUGUAUAGGGGUACAGUAGGAAACUUGUCAAGUUUUUUAAAAGGAAAAAUUAAAGCAAAACAUGUGCAUGUGUGAAGUAAUGGCUUUCAGUAAAAAUACAGAGGUUUUGAAAUGGACAGAAAGCCUACAAUGAUGCUGAAAUGUUUUGGAAUCCAAGUAAUAUAGAUACACACUGAUAUCAUCCAGAAUGAAUCAAGCAUCCAUCAGUUUUUGAGGAUUAGUUGCAAAGACAUGUAAAUGAUUAAGUAUUUUCAACAUAAUAUAGAAAAUAUACUCAGAAUAGAUUUCUUAUACAUAUCUAUUGUUGGAUAUUUCCAUAUGCCAAAUCCAUUCUCAAGAUUCUAUCUACAUGGGAAUGUAAUUUGUUCUUUGCUUCAAGCCUCUUCUUUAUAUCCCCUUAACAUGUGGAUAGUUUUAUAAAAAUUACUUUGACUGUGGUCAUUUUUUGACUUCAUUCACAAGAAUAUUUUUCUGAAACAUUGAAAAAAGGAAGCAUACUAUUCUUAUGUAUUUAAGAAUAUGUCUUGUUCAGGUGUUAUGUGUACUGAUUGUGGGAUACAAGUGUGCUUAAUUAAAGAAUUAAGCACAUUUGCCGACAUGAUAUGCGCUUACAGUUAAAACAAGUUUAGUUUGGAAAAACAUAAUAUAACCUAUGAUAUAACCUGCAUAUGUAUACAAGUUUAGAAGUUAUUAUGAUGAAGUAGGAUAAAACCAUGUUACAUCAAACUGAAGAAAAAAGCCAACCAAAAUAAUAAAUAUUAUCGUUAUAUAAAAGAUAUGUAAAUAAAAAAAAACUCUCAAGUUUCGAAUCAUCCGCAGCUCACAAGUUGGCGAAAAAAAUAAACGUCUUAACCAUAUACAAUGUAUAUUUACACCCAGUCACAGUACCUUGAAUAAGAGUUUGCUCAAGCAUAAUUUUUUUUCCUUAGAAAAGUUUGUCUUUCAUAUAGAGUUAAUGUAGAAUGAAAAUUUUAUUAAUUCAUCAAUCAAUUGUCAUGGCUAUUGUUGACCCAAUUUACACUAAAUCAGUAAAACGUUCAACAGAAUAAAGGAGAUGCUUCACUAACAGAAUAUCACUUUCCUAUGGACUCUGGAGAAAUUGAGAUGUACCGAUGUAUAAUUUAUUGUCAACAGAGCGUGGAAUCCUUCUCGCCGUGUACGUCCUCAUUCUUUCCCUUACCAAAAUUGGACCAGAUUCAUUUUUUCAAGAGGAAGAUCUCAAUUAGUCCACUUUGCUUCUCUGAUAUGAUUGAUUUGGCACUUAACACUAUAAUACAAUGUAACUUCAUUGUUUAAUUUCAUGAAAUGUUGUCAGAAGUCAGGGUUCAACCAGGAACAAAGCUGGAUCAAAUUUUAACGUAGUUAGGGUCAAUUUCAACUGGAAUAUUAACUCUAGUUCGUUUUCCUACGUUGGUAAACGUUAAUUUGAAAAAUGAACCACACAGUACAUGUUUAGGUUUAACGCAUUUUGUGUCAUUGAACAAAAUUGCAUGAUCAUAUAUUAUGUUUCUUCAGUUUUCUUUCUGAUUUUUAUUUAGCUGAAUCAAACAGAUACAUGAUAUACAUAAUUGCAAAAACUAAAACAUAAUUGCAAUGCAAGCAACAAUUCGGUCGCUAACAUUUUUAGCACUCUAAACAAAUAGGGAAAGACACUGAUAUCUUUUAAACACGUUAACACUGUCAUAAAGAAGACCUGAAUAUAUGAUUUUGAAAGAAAAUAUUAAUGCAUCAAAUGUCAUUUAAACCUUUAAAUUUACUAUUGCAAUGUGGAAAGCGUGAUACAUAUAUUUGCUCAUUGAUUGAUUUUAAGAGGAGUAUUUAAUCAAACAUGUACUCUUUAUAGAUUUUUAUUGAAGUAUCGGAUCUAUUUGGGGUGCGUAUAAGGCACCUUGUAUUUAGAUUUUUAGAAAAAUUGCUUCGAAAUGUUUAAUGUAUCAUAUGAUGCACGUAGCAUCGUUUUUUCUCAGCGCGGGGCGCAACCGGAGGAAAUGUCGACUUCACUAUAACCUAAAAUUCUUGACAAGCAAAUACACAAAGCUUAUAAUUCAUCACGUUAUGUCUGAUCCUCAAAUUCCUUAAAGGGGUUAGAACUAAUUAAAGAUCUGAGAAGUCACCAAAUCUUGAUUGCUGAAAUCGUGCGGGAAAAUAGCGCUUGUCGUAGAAUUCGAAAUUCCAAGCACUGCUACUAUAAAAUACUGUGGAUAUGUUUUUGGAGGGGGAUACCUAACUACCUUCCCUUGCAUUUGAAAAUUGCUAACUUUGUCUGUAAAACUAACGGAAAAUGAACAUUGUCAAAAAAUGGGGGGAGGGGGUCAAACAUUUCUCAUGACUCUUCUAGUUCUACGUGACUACAUAAUUAUAUAAUAAGAAAUGAACAGAAUAGAUCGUUUUAAUACACUGGAUAUAUGCCAAGUUAUGAUGCGGGUUACUUAUGUGGUACAUGUCCAUAAUUAUAAACGGUAUUUAAAAAGUUGAACUGCAUGUUCACUACAUACGCCAAAUAUCCUUUUCCUGGGAUCUGAACCAGGAAUUAUGAAUCUAAACGUAAAUGGAAGAAAAUAUGUAGAAUAAUCAAUACAUGUAUUUUGUUUUAAUGACGUUGAAGGAGGGGGGGGGGGUGUGGGUCGUUGUGGCACGGUCCUGUAGCCUUAACUGUUAAUAAUUAGGCAAGGAUAAUGCACUUGACAUGAAGUGUUUACCUUCUGACAGACUGGUGAAGCAAAUUAUUUCGGUAAAAACUUUUUUUAAAUCAUUACCCUCCCCCACAAAAUAUCUACUAGCCAUGGAGUUCCAAAUCCCUUCAAAAGUGCGGUCACACGAUGCAUUUUUUAAUAUUAUCCGAUUUCCAUUAAUCUUUCCCAUUUUACUUUAAUGUUUGAGAUUUUUUGUUAUUUAACUUUAGCAUGAAUGUGUCAAGUUUCCGUAAAAGGAAUUAAAUAAUUUGAAUUAUAAAAAGAGAACUCUCUAUGCGUCUUAAGGAAGUUUUAAACUCGACAGUUUCAGUCCAUUCUAGCUAAAAUGUAACUUUUAAAAGACCAAUAUUGAAUGAAAAAUUAAAUCAGUAACUAAGGUGUAAUCUUCUCACGAUUCGGCGUCUCAACAUCUCUCGUAUCAAGAAUAUUUGAAUAUGUAUCGGGCCACCAUUUUUCCUCUCCUGAUCCUAUGGAGAUGACAAACAGAAAAUACAAUUACUUCACCCUAAUUAUCGUACUGUGUUGAAAUCGUGUAAGGAGUACGUUUAUGUUUGAGGGUCUCGUGCAUUUUCGAGAUACAAAUAUCUGAUAUGUCCUAGAAUUGUGCGGAAACGGAUGGAACCAUAGCGUACUUUUUUGCAUACCAAUCAAUGAAACUAUUGGGAGCUGUUUCUUGCAAGUCUCCUGAAACAGCUAAACAGACUUAGUAGUACAGAUAGAUAAACAGACAGUUUGACAGAUAUAUAUUUUAUUUUAGUAUUUCAUAUAAUUAAUUCAUAACCUAAUAAACAUUAAAUUCAUAACGUAAUAGAUAAUAAAUUAUGUUUGAAAAGAGUUUUGGAAGGAAUAUAUCUGUUUUUAAAGAAGUCCCUAUACUAUCACCACAAAUAUACAUUCUUGUUGCAGAUGACGCAAUGCAAUGAUCACCAUGUUUCUGUUCGUCGUUUUGCACCCACCGCAUUUGCCCCUCAAGGUGGAAAAAAAAUUUGAAAACUAAUUGCUCAUCUAAAGGGCACCACCACUCAUCUCCCAAAAUAUGAUUUGGCUUUUCAUAAAAUGAAAACCACAAUUGAUCCCAGGGUGAAAACGAAAAUUUUGAAACUUUAUUGCACAUUUAUAUGACACCGCCAAUUAUCUUCCAAAAGAUUAGUUGGCUAGUAGGUAAAACAGGGAACCAAAUGUAUGAAAUCUGGGAACUAGGUUUUUUUUUUUUAUAGAAAAACAAUUUUUGAACACCAUUUUGUUCCCAUUAGUACCUCGUUCGCACGACAUAAUAUAUCGUCUGCACGACUUUUAAAUUACCUCGUUCGCACGAGUUAAUUAUCUCGUUCGCACGACUUAUUUUCUCGUUAGAACGACAUAUUUUCUCGUUCGCACGACACAUUUUCUCGUUCACACGACAUAUUAUGUCGUUUGCACGACAUAAUAUCUCAGGCGAACGACAUAAUUUCCUUAUUUUAUUUAAAACUUCUAUAUUUGUGCAGUCAUUUUUAUCACCAAUCGGGACUGUACAUUUCUUUAAUAUGAAAUAUCACUUGGACAUGUUUUGUUAAUCAUGAAAAGUCAAAUUGAAAUAAUAAUAAAUAUCGGUAUAAAUACAAAUCAAUACUUAAAAUAUGAUGAUCGUAUGUGCCUCAGCUCUUUGUCUUUCAAGAAUGUUGUUUUUCCAACACUAACCCACAUAAGAUAUCAAAUCACUUGGAAAUUGUAUAACUAGGAUGGACUGCUCUAACUUAGCCAUAACAUCCCGCUGUGUCAUUCCAUUAAUACAUUGAAAGUCCAGAUAUUGCAGCUCUGGGGUGCAUUUAUUUGUAAUGAAUGCACGCAACAAUUAAUAUUGUUGAACAUGUUUUUUUUUUUUGGGAGGGGGGGGGGGGAGAGUGGACACGUUCAUAUGCUUUUGGAUUUUGUUUGUAACGUUUGGAAUUUUUUUUAAAUCAUUUAAUUAUUAUUUUAAAAAAUAAUCCUCACUUCUGAUUAAAAUAAUACUGUAAUUUAAUUGACAUCAUUUAAAAAAGUUUUACGUACAACAAGGAAAUUGGUUUUCUUUUUUAGUUUCAAAGAAAAUUUUUAACCAUUUAUUUACAAAAGUAACUUAGAGAAAAACGUAUUAUUUCACAUGUUUUAAAAGCAUCACGAAACCGUUUUUAAAUAAUGUUUGAAAGGAAGCUAGAUAAUCAUGGUUACAUGAGGAACAUGUUUUGGUUCCAGCUGACAAAGCUAGUAACAACAUUGUCUCUAAGGCUCAUUAUUACAACUGUAUUUUAAACGAACUUGGCAUUAAUUCCACUUUUAGUAAUCAUACUUAUACCCCAACUGCCCUUUCAAAAGAUGAAAAUCUUCAAAACCAUGCUUCAGUUUUAGACACAUUCAAUAUCCCAGUCAAUGGGUCGAAUGAAUAUGAGUUACCGUACCUAUACUGGAUUCCUAAACUACAUAAAAACCCUUAAAAACAAAGAUACAUUGCUGGAUCCAGUAAGUGCUCUACCAAGCCCCUAUCUUUGCUCCUCACAAAAAUAUUAACAGCUGUGAAGGAGAAACUUCAAACUUAUUGGGCGAAUACAUAUACCAGAAGUGGUGCUAUUCAAAUGUGGAUUCUAAAAACAUAAGAACUUUUGGUAAACUUGAAAUCGCAGAAUUUCUCCCAAAUCAAUAACAUUAAAAUAUAUGACUUUUCAACAUUACACACGACCAUUCCUCACGAUAAAUUAAAGACUAGACUUUUUGACAUCAUAGACAGUUGCUUCUUCAACAAAAAUGGAAAACGGAAA